rnacentral:rRNA from 1 species
AGCGGAUGAGAGGAGCUUGCUCCUUGAUUUAGCGGCGGACGGGUGAGUAAUGCCUAGGAAUCUGCCUGGUAGUGGGGGAUAACGUCCGGAAACGGGCGCUAAUACCGCAUACGUCCUACGGGAGAAAGCAGGGGACCUUCGGGCCUUGCGCUAUCAGAUGAGCCUAGGUCGGAUUAGCUAGUUGGUGAGGUAAUGGCUCACCAAGGCGACGAUCCGUAACUGGUCUGAGAGGAUGAUCAGUCACACUGGAACUGAGACACGGUCCAGACUCCUACGGGAGGCAGCAGUGGGGAAUAUUGGACAAUGGGCGAAAGCCUGAUCCAGCCAUGCCGCGUGUGUGAAGAAGGUCUUCGGAUUGUAAAGCACUUUAAGUUGGGAGGAAGGGCAUUAACCUAAUACGUUAGUGUUUUGACGUUACCGACAGAAUAAGCACCGGCUAACUUCGUGCCAGCAGCCGCGGUAAUACGAAGGGUGCAAGCGUUAAUCGGGAAUUACUGGGCGU